UGAAAGGGAUAGGAAACUUCCGUUGCGUGGGCGGAUUAUUCCAUUAAGAUUAUUAGGUUGCCUAGCAACAUAGGCAAGUUACCCUUCCCGGGCCUUUUCCUUCACUGUUCGGCGUCCUAUUUCAACUCAUAACUCUAAAGUGACUUGUGUUCGUCCUCUGAAAUGAUAAUUAAAGGCAUUACAGAUACCUCCCUUACAGUCUGUCUAAUUUUUGAAGUAAAAUAAUAUUGAUAACUAUGGAAUACAAAAGAAGCAAUACCAGAAUUAACUAUUACCAACUAUUCUAUACAUUAUUAUGGAGGGCACGCAACAUAAAUGGCUCCGAUGACAGAUUUGGUGACUGAUUUAUAAUCAAUUCAAAGUUUUUGCGAAGACCUUUGUUUUGUACCUUUUUCUUUACAGCUCAAUGAUUGGCACAUUUUAAUGUGAUAUGAAAGCAAAGCUUGAUGUACACUUGAGGGCACGCACAUACUUUAAUGUAUGUGACAUAAACACAAUUUGAGAAAAACCAUUAUGAAGUUGUACUAUUCCAUAAUGUUUGAUAAUUUUCUUAAUAAAUCCUAUUGUAAAAUUGAAAAAA